rnacentral:rRNA from 1 species
UACGUAGGGUGCAAGCGUUAAUCGGAAUUACUGGGCGUAAAGCGUGCGCAGGCGGUUUGGUAAGACAGAUGUGAAAUCCCCGGGCUCAACCUGGGAACUGCAUCUGUGACUGCAUCGCUGGAGUGCGGCAGAGGGGGAUGGAAUUCCGCGUGUAGCAGUGAAAUGCGUAGAUAUGCGGAGGAACACCGAUGGCGAAGGCAAUCCCCUGGGCCUGCACUGACGCUCAUGCACGAAAGCGUGGGGAGCAAACAGG